ACAGCUCACCAUGAACUGCUGGGGAUCCCAGACUGUGCUUGUGUUUUGCUAACUCAGAAAAGUUUGUGCUUUCUCUCUUUGUCUGCGGUGCCCACUCCUCCUUCUAGCUCCAAUCUACAUGAUAUACCCAUCCCCCCUCGCCACCAAAGAGCUGGAGAAUAAGCCUAACAGCAGCAGCAGCUAAAGGCAAAUUGAAGUGCUAAAUAACAGUGGGCAUUAAGGCAUCUGAUUUGACAUUGUGUACUUAUUGAAGCUGCUGUGCCAACAGCCUACAACAAGGAACUGAAGCAGGAAAUAUGACCACCAAAAAAGGAGAGCUUUUCAAUUAUGCUGAAAGUGGAACCAGUGCCCUUGGAAUGUUUAACAUAACCAUGGAGAAUAUAGCAGUAAAUGCCACUGAAGAACCUUUAGAUUUUAGAGGGCCACUACCUAUCAUUAUAUCCCUUGUGUGCAUUUUUCUCCUCCUAGCGACCUGUCUUGUUUUCAUGACACUCUGCAAACCUGCAACAUUAGAUCAGACUCUGUAUGGUCCACAUGAACGUAUGCCUUAUCAUGCAGAAGAUGCUAGUGAACCACAGCUGAGGCUUUGGAAAAGGUUGGGAUCACUGAGAUGUUCGGUCAGCAGCUUCAAAAGAGGUCGACCUACUACUCAGCUGCAGAGAACUUGUCCAAGACCAAUGCCAACAAACCAAAACUGGUCCUUUAUGGAGUCCACAAAAAUGUGAACUUAAAUGUAAUGUACUCUAAAACAGAGAUUUGGAUGAAAAAACAGAAGGAAUAUUGUGGAGAUAAUAAUGACAUAACAAGUCUCCCCCAACCUUGAUUGAGGUAUUAAAAAGUACAAAGAAUUUAAAAGGAAUUUAAAAGGAAAAUAGCAUCCAUACAUACACCUUAAUUCUCUGAGCUUUUUUUAAUUUGGGAGCUCAGGGACUUUUCCAGCUAAAUCUCUGACAUAUUUUAUAAGGAUUUAGUCCAAGGACCAUUAACAUUUGUCCAUCUCUCAUACAGUAUAUCAACCUAGUUUUCUAACUAGACAUCAAUGUUUCUCUUGUUCGUUGAUAUUUCUUUCAUUUGUUAUUUUAUUAUUCAAUCUUCUGUUCCCUAUAGACUUUAGUCUGUCUGCUGUCAAGAGUUUGCAUGGUAAUAUGAAUGAUUUACCUGACUUUUUGAACAUGACUGUGUACAGUUCUUCCAUUGCUUUGUUUUAUGAAUAAUGGCUGUAAUUGGCUUUAUAAAUAUCUUCCCAUAAACUUCUGGGCAUAUUUAAAGAAUCACAUUUGUUUUGUGUGAGGGUUUUUAUAGCUCAGAUAAACUCGAAUUUCGAAUGUUUGGGUAUUUAUGAAAAUAUUUGAAUGCCAAAAACACAAAUGAAAACUGACGGGGAAAAAAGCUGUAAUGAUCGAGUUCAUGUCCUGAAAAAACUCAAAUCAAUCCAAUUUAUGUCCCAAAAACUCGAAUUGAUUGAGUUAUCGGAUAAAAA